rnacentral:rRNA from 1 species
GUAAACUUGGGGCAGGCGGGCGUGGUAAGAGGAGGGAUGCAAGCGGUUUCCGGAUUCAUUGGGUUUAAAGGGGGCGUAGGCGGACUAAUAAGGCAGUGGUGAAAUCUCCGGGCUUAACCCGGAAACUGCCAUUGAUACUGUAAGUCUUGAGUACAGAUGAUGUUGGCGGAAUAUGACAUGUAGCGGUGAAAUGCAUAGAUAUGUCAUAGAACACCGAUUGCGAAGGCAGCUGACAAAACUGUAACUGACGCUGAGGCACGAAAGUGCGGGGAUCAAACAGGAUUAGAUACCCUGGUAGUC